rnacentral:rRNA from 1 species
AUUGAACGCUGGCGGCAGGCCUAACAUAUGCAAGUCGAGCGGCAGCGGAAAGUAGCUUGCUACUUUGCCGGCGAGCGGCGGACGGGUGAGUAAUGUCUGGGAAACUGCCUGAUGGAGGGGGAUAACUACUGGAAACGGUAGCUAAUACCGCAUAAUGUCGCAAGACCAAAGAGGGGGGCCUUCGGGCCUCUUGCCAUCAGAUGUGCCCAGAUGGGAUUAGCUAGUAGGUGGGGUAACGGCUCACCUAGGCGACGAUCCCUAGCUGGUCUGAGAGGAUGACAAGCCACACUGGACCGGAGACACGGUCCAGACUCCUACGGGAGGCAGCAGUGGGGAAUACUGCACAAUGGGCGCAAGCCUGAUGCAGCCAUGCCGCGUGUAUGAAGAAGGCCUUCGGGUUGUAAAGUACUUUCAGCGGGGAGGAAGGUGUUGUGGUUAAUAACCACAGCAAUUGACGUUACCCGCAGAAGAAGCACCGGCUAACUCCGUGCCAGCCGCCGCCGUAA